rnacentral:SRP_RNA from 1 species
GCUGGGCACAGUAGCAUGUACCUAUGGUCCCAGCUACUUGGGAACCUAAAGCGGGAGGAUUGCUUGAGCCCAAGGAGUCCUAGCUUGUAGUACACUAUGCUGAUUGGGUGUCCCCACUAAGUUCGAUAUCAAUAUGGUGACUUCCAGGGAGCUAGAAACCACCAGGUUGCCUAAAGAGAGGUGAACCAGCCCAGGUCAGAAACGGAGCAGGUCAAAACUCCCAGGAUGAUCAGUAGUGGGGUCAUGCCUGUGAAUAGUCACUGUACUCCAGCCUGGGCAACAUAGCGAGACCCCAUCUCA